rnacentral:rRNA from 1 species
CGGACGGGUGAGUAAUGUCUGGGAAACUGUCCGAUGGAGGGGGAUAACUACUGGAAACGGUAGCUAAUACCGCAUAACGUCGCAAGACCAAAGAGGGGACCUUCGGGCCUCUUGCCAUCGGAUGUGCCCAGAUGGGAUUAGCUAGUAGGUGGGGUAACGGCUCACCUAGGCGACGAUCCCUAGCUGGUCUGAGAGGAUGACCAGCCACACUGGAACUGAGACACGGUCCAG